rfam:Oryza glaberrima chromosome 8 Oglab08_0121_12, whole genome shotgun sequence.
AACCACACUAUCAAUGAAUGGAUUCACCCGCGAGAUGACGUGGUUGUUUCACAUAGGACAAGGACAUGACAUCCUAUUACUAGCCAUAUCACGAAAUUAAUAGGAUAUACCGUGUCAUCAUCCUAGAUGGAACAACCAUGUCAUCUCAUGGGUGAAUCCAUUCAUCGAUAGUGUAGUU